rnacentral:rRNA from 1 species
CCCUUAGAUGUUCUGGGCUGCACGCGCGCUACACUGAUGCGCUCAACGAGUUUAUGACCUUGCCCGGAAGGGUUGGGUAAUCUUUUUAAAACGCAUCGUGAUGGGGAUAGAUUAUUGCAAUUAUUAAUCUUCAACGAGGAAUUCCCAGUAAGUGCAAGUCAUAAGCUUGCGCUGACUACGUCCCUGCCCUUUGUACACACCGCCCGUCGCUACUACCGAUUGAAUGAUUUAGUGAGGACUUCGGACUGGGACCGAUGCGGCUUUCGGGCUGCGUCGGUAUUCUGGAAAGAUGUCCAAACUGUAUCAUUUAGAGGAAGUAAAAGUCGUAACA